rfam:Myotis lucifugus cont2.42817, whole genome shotgun sequence.
GGUCGUUCUUGGGUGUUGUACCCCAGAAUCGGGCUCCCUCCUCUCUGGUUCCGGGUGCGUCACCUGAGAACUGCA